ACAGUAAAUAAAUUGUUUUUUGUAUCUUCAUUUAGGCAAAGAAGAGAUAAAAGCAGAUGGUCUGACAUCUUCCACAGAGGUGAAGUAGGUCAGGCUGGGGUCACAUAGUUUGAAGGAACCUCCUCCUUUUUUCACCUGUGCCAGAUGUCCUGCUCAUCCACUGUGGGAAAGAAAUGACCUUACACCAGCAGCUCUCCCAGAUGAAGAGUCCUCUCUGCCAUCACCCAGAGGAGCUGAUUGACGUCUGCACAACUGAAGAAGGUGGACAGAGUCUGGUGCUUUGUGACAGUGAACAGUGAGAAGGCUACCAUAGUCAUCCUCAGAGAAAACACAGAGAUCCUGGUCAAUAUUCAAUGGUGCUAUUUUUCUUUCCAUGAUGUUGCCCUGUGUUUGAAAGGCCAGAUGCUGGAGGGUUGUGUUGGAUUUGCUCUUCCAUCAUAUUUUAACAGUCAAACAAUCAUCCAGGAUCGCUAUACUUUAUUUGAUUUUUGUUUGGAUUUCUUUGUUAAAUUAUUUUUUAUACUUUCUCCUAUGUCCCAGCAAUUCGACCUGAUGGUCUCCCUUACUUAUUUUCCACAUGGUUAAUGAAGCCAGGGGUUGUUUAUUGAAGAUUAUUUUUCAUAAAAUGUUUAAAUAAAAAUUUAAAAAAUCUGA